UACGUAGGGUGCGAGCGUUAAUCGGAAUUACUGGGCGUAAAGCGUGCGCAGGCGGUUUUGUAAGUCAGGUGUGAAAUCCCCGGGCUCAACCUGGGAAUGGCAUUUGGGACUGCAAGGCUCGAGUGCGGCAGAGGAGACUGGAAUUCCUGGUGUAGCAGUGAAAUGCGUAGAUAUCAGGAGGAAUACCGAUGGCGAAGGCAGGUCUCUGGGCUGACACUGACGCUCAUGCACGAAAGCGUGGGGAGCAAACAGG
rnacentral:rRNA from 1 species